CGCGGGACGGGCUGCUGCUGAGACAGAAACUUAAAAUGGAUAAUAAGAGUAAAAAACGCCCGGGUGGCGCUGAGAAGCAUCGGGAAAAAAAGCCUAAGUCUCUGGAGGUGGAGGCUGCUAAAUGUGCCAAACUGACGGACCUGUUUGGUGCCGGGUUCACCAGCCCAGCAGCAGCAGGUGCGCCGGGAGACGAGCGAGGAGGACUCGACAAUGAUGAGCGAGUGGAGGCAGACAUGUUGACCACUUGACAUGUGAGAGCCUGAGGAGUUGUUCCCCCUCUGUCCAUGUUCGAGGACUUGCUCUCUGUCUGCCUCCACUCUCUGCCUUCACUGUACCAAAGUUUGUCUGUUGAGUCUCCUCUAGUCUGGUUGACCACUUGACAUGUGAGAGUCUGAAGAGUUGUUUUCCAGACACAGGUAGAGCUGGCAGGGGUGUCACCCUGGGCCUGCC